GCUAAAAACUUAGCCUUANUCCUACAAUUAUAUUUACCCUAUUUUACUUACACAAAAUAAAACAUUCUUUAAGCUUAGUAAAGGAGAUAAAAAAGUUUUUUAGAGCUAUAAAAUAAGUACCGCAAGGGAAAAAUGAAAUAAAAAUGAAACAAAAUUCAAGCAUAAUAUAGUAGAGCUUUCCCCUCGUACCUUUUGCAUCAUGAUUCAACUAGUUUAACCACGCAAAAAGAAUUUAAGUUUGACUUCCCGAAACUAAGUGAGCUACUUCAGGGCAGCUAAAUGAGCCAACCCGUCUCUGUUGCAAAAGAGUGGGGUGACCCUUAAGUAGAGGUGAUAAACCUAACGAACUUGGUGAUAGCUGGUUAUUCAGGAAAAGAAUUUUAGUUCAACUUAAAAUUACAUAAAUAAAAUAAAAUAAAAUUUUAAUUUUAAAGCAAUUCAAAUAAGGUACAGCCUAUUUGAAAUAGAAUACAAUCUAAACUAUAGGGUAAAUAUAAAAAAUUAAUGUAAUAAAGUAGGCCUAAAAGCAGCCAACUUUAAAAUAGCGUCAAAGCUUACUUCCAUAAUUUUUUAAUACUAUUAUUUACAAUGAACCCUUUAUUUUUACUGAAUAUUUCUAUAAAGUUAUAGAACCUUUUAUGUUGAAACUAGUAACAAGAAGUUAAACUUCUCCUCAAUAUAAGUAUAAGUCGACUAGGAUAAACCAUCGACAAUUAACGCUUAAAUUAAAUGUAUUAACUCCACAAGAAAAACUUACAUUACCCCACGUUAAUCUUACACCAGAACAUUUAAGGAAAGAUNNAAAAAA
rnacentral:rRNA from 1 species